UACGUAAGUGGCGAGCGAUAUCCGGAAUUACUGGGUGUAAAGGGUGUGUAGGCGGCUUUUUAAGUCCUGUGUUAAAUCCCACGGCUCAACUGUGGGCAUGCGCGGGAAACUGGAAGGCUUGAGUAGAGGAGAGGUAACUGGAAUUCCUAGUGUAGCGGUGAAAUGUGUAGAUAUUAGGAAGAACACCAGUGGCGAAGGCGGGUUACUGGCCUCUUACUGACGCUGAGACACGAAAGCCGGGGGAGCAAACAGG
rnacentral:rRNA from 1 species